rnacentral:misc_RNA from 1 species
GUGAAUCAUCAAAUUUUUGAACGCAAAUUGCACUCUCGGGUAUUCCUGAGAGUAUGCCUGUUUGAGGGUCAGUGUAAAUAAAAAUCGGUUUUGUUUCUGCCUGUCGUGGUGACGCACCGGAUUUGGUUCGUCUUUCCUUCGGUUAAGGUACGUUAAAUGUUUCAGGAUGUUUUUCGAACGUAGUUAAAUGAUUUUACUUACGUUUGCGUUAUCGAAUACUAGGUGUUGUCAUCGUCAUGGUUCUCGCCUAUAAUUUUUCCUU